rnacentral:rRNA from 1 species
AACGUAGGAGACGAACGUUAUCCGGAGUUACUGGGCGUAAAGGGCGUGCAGGCGGCUUGAUAAGUUCGGCGUGAAAUUUCCCGGCUUAACCGGGGGAUGUCGUCGGAGACUGUCGAGCUAGAGGGUGAUAGAGGCGUGUGGAAUUCCGGGUGUAGUGGUGAAAUGCGUAGAGAUCCGGAGGAACACCAGUGGCGAAGGCGGGUCUCUGGGCCGAUACUGACGCUGAGGAGCGAAAGCGUGGGGAGCGAACAGG